rnacentral:lncRNA from 1 species
CUGGCUUUGUACCUCUGUGGUCUCUGGUCCUGUGGCAAUCAGAUAAUCAUUAAGAUAAUGAUAGAAUAUUUUGUGAUAAAUGUAUUUUACAGAUAAAAAGACAUGAAGCUCAGAGAGUUCACAAAGCUGGAAAUGAAAACAAAGAUCCCAGACCUAUUCGGUUCAUGUCUCCCUAUUAAUUAGAAAGAGAACUGGGGGGGGGGGGGGGAAAUGCUGCCUUUCCCAAGAUAUCUGUGGCAAUUUUGAGAGAAGAAUACAGAGAGGUCCCUUUGUGUCUCAUUUCAUCCGUACAUGUGAUCCUCUGACACUGAGGAAUGUGACCUGUGUUUCCUAACAGUGCCUCAUAUGUUCACACUUAAAGCUGGAAUGUAUUUCAGUCUUUCUCACAUGUAUGUGGUUUUCAGCAAACACCCAAGAACUUGUUAGUGGCUGGUGGAAUAGUUCCAAGCUGACAUUAGCUUAAGUACUUUUAGGGAUAACUUCUGUGUUCCUAGCUAUAACAGCUUACCUCUGGGAGUUUAAACCACAGAGUUUUUAUGCUUUAAGGGAGGUAAAGGGCUCCGACUGCGUAAAUGUGAGUGAUGUAGAAAGCUCAGCUCUCAGCCACUUGCAAGGGAAAUCCAAAGCUUGAAAAGAGUUGGAGGUCCAUUCAUGUAACUAUCUGGUACCUCUCUGGUUCCUGUAUUUUUAAUCCUCUGUGGGGUCAUCUCUUGCAAGGUCCUUCACAGUUUGCUCUGAAUUACUUCUCCAUCUUCACCUGAACCAGUUUCCUUCCAAGGAACCUUAUCUUUAAUUCCCAUCAAAUAUUCCCUAACAUGGCAUUCACCAAGUUAUGAAAGUUCCAGAGCUGACUAAAUUUAAGAAAUAUGACAUCUCUCCCUUGAAUGAUCAGAUGUAUAUCGGUGUCCAGAAGAAAUAGCCAGGAGCCUCUUAAUGUUGCAACUUUGAAUAUAAAUUCCUGUUACAAAGGCCCUGGUGAGACACCCAAGGACAAAGAUCUAGUCCUUUGAAAGUUCAAAUAAAAAAAAAAAUUGUAGCCCAGGAUUAAUCCUCCUUCUCUCUUUCUUAUUCCUUCCAGCCUAAGAUCCAGGAUCUCCUUAGGACUGGGGCAGGGACUCCUCCCAGGAGCUAGAAGCUCUAGUUGACAGACUGAGGGCUGCCGACUUAAAAAAAAUACACAACCUGAAAGUUGAGAGUUAAGUUUUACUGGGGGCAAAUUAGGACUUAAAUCCGGGAGAGAGCUUCUCUGAGCAGCAAGCUAGGAUACACAGGAGAUUUGCAACAAAGGGAAGGUAGUAGGAAUCAAAGAGGUCUGGGCUCACUGAAAUCAUUCCUUUGACUUGUACCUCGGCUAUCAGGGCCAUAUCCUGAGUUUUCACAACCUGAGCUUCCUCAGGGCUCCCUGUUAAGACUGGCUACGGUCUGAUGGCUGCUAGAUAGCAGGUAUUCUUUGUUUCCUUUCUGAGUUCCCUCAGGACUCAUGGGCUCAUCUUUGGAGGGGUCUGUAUUUGCAGUUGACUGUGUGACAUCCUUUGUUUUGCCAACUUAACUAUAGCCUGGUGGCAGUGUAUCAGAUGGCUGAAUAUCAGAUGGCUGAAAUGCCGCCCGAAAGAGGCAGGGGAAAAUAAUAUCUGUGUAUGUGUUAAAGGGGAAGGGAGGGCUGCCUGCAGCCAAGCACAAAAAUUUUACAAACGUUUGCUGCUGGACUCCUGAAUAUCUCUACUAGUCAUGGGAGCAGACAUCACCAUGAAGGAUUUUAGCGUUUUUCUAGAUAUGAGGAGAUGCAGGAAUUGGGCACAUAAAAUUUUCUCCUAAAAAUAUCUAUCUGAAGACCUGUUCAUCCAGUUUUCCCAGAGCAUGGAGUGCCUCACUCCUAAUCUCCACCCUGAGCUCUGCUCUGGGGAUGCUGCAGGUCGGCAGCUGCAGUGGCUCGGGAUUUAAUCCAUGUAGAGGAUGCUAAGUGCCAAACUCUGGUUCUCAGGGCCGACCCUAACUCUGGGCUAACUUCUGCAAGUCCAUCAACAGCAAGGCCCAUCUCUUGGGGCCUCAGGGGGUGUCCUCAUCUAUGAUUACCCCUGCCCUGACCUCUGUCUUAAAACAUGUGGAAACAGAACAAACACCCACUUCCACUGAGUAGUUAUCCAAAGCCAACAGAUGUUAACAGGAUGGUGGUACUUAUUGAUGUCAAAGACCUGGUGCUUAAUCUGGUCAGAGACACUGCCAGGACUCUGAAGAAGGAGACGGGGUCUGAGUUUUCCCCAUAAGCAUCCCUGCAGCCUAAGGCCAGUUGCUCCGAGUCAUGAGCGGACCCCUGGAUCCAGGCACCCAUUCUUCUUCAGAAAGCAUUUUCAGGAUGGUUUUUCUCAGACCUCCCACUCUAAUGCUCAUGGCAAAUCAAAUAACCACUGACUCUUCAGGUUUUCCUAUUGAUUUUCCUGGUAAAACACUGUUGAAUCUGUCCAACUUUUCUGAAACCACUUUGUAAAACUCUCACAUUAUCACAACACUCUGCCUUCGACCAGAUUUCCCUUUCCAGCUGCACUUGAAGGAGGCACAAAUCAAUAGUUUUACAAAUCAAUACUGUCCUGGAUCCUGGCUCCCUCGGACAGUCACACCUGCCUAGUUAGUGAGAAUUUCCCUUUUUCCUUGUUAAAAUUUCAUGGUUCCAUUUGCAGCAACCAGAAUGGACCUAGAGAUUACCAAAACAAAUGAAAUAAAUCAGACAGGGAAAGACAAAUAUCAUAUGAUAUCACUUAUUGUGGAAUCUAAUUAAAAAAUGGUACAAAUGGGAGUCCCCUUCGUGGUCAUCGAUUAAUGAACCUGACUAGCAUCCAUGAGGAUGUGGGUUUGAUCCCUGGCCCCACUCAGUGGGUUAAAGAUCCGGCGUUGCUGUGAGCUGUGGUGUAGGUCUCAGACGUGGCCUGGCUCCCAAGGUGCUGUGGCUGUGGUGUUGGCAGGCAACUGUAGCUCUGAUUCAACCCCUAGCCUGGGAACCUCCAUACACCUCGGAUGCAGCCCUAAAAGGACAAAAGACCAAAAAAAUUUUUUUAAUGGUACAAAUGAACUUAUUUACAAAACAGAAACAGACUCGCAGACUUUGAAAGCAAAUUUAUGCUUACCAAUGGAGGAAGUGGGAAGCGAUAAAUUAGGAGCUUGGGAUUAAUAUACACACCCUAUUAUGUAUAAAAUAGGUAAGCAUCAAGGAUCUACUUAUAGGACAGGGAACUCUACUCAGUAUUUUGUAAUAACUGACAAGGGGAAAAGAAUCUGAAAAGAAUGGAUAUAGGUAUAUGUGUAACUGAAUUGCUGAGCUGAACACUUGAAACUAACACAACAUUGUAAAUCAAUCUAAUUACAAAAAACAAACAAACAAACAAAUCCUUCUUGGUUCCCACCACUCUGCGUGGCCACUACAGCACAUGCUCCUCUCUGCUGUUUCACCAAGAGAAAGCAGACCCCAGCGGAGUCAUUUUCCCUCUGCCACCACCCAAGUCUUGCCUUAGAAUCUAGAUUUUUCUGUAUCUUCCCAGCUGUUUGCUUAUGCAUCAUCCUUUUUCUCAAAUAGGACCUUCUUUUCCUUGUGUCAUCAUCUGGUUUCUCUAUUCUGUUUUCAUUCCCCUCCUCUUCCUGUUUUGCUGGUGAAACAGAAAACCCUUUUUCAGACCCCUUUGUUUUACCUGCAUCUCUGGAUAACUCAGUCCCUGGAGGCAGAGGUUUCUAGGUAGAGACCUUUCAUCAGCUCCUUAGCUUUGGGUUUGAAAUUUCAUUGAGUUGGUUUUCUAACUGCAUUCAUUUCCCAGAGCUGCAAAAACAGAAAUUCGGUGGCUAGAAGAAUGGAGGUCACAGUUCUGGAGGUCAGAAGUCCAAAAUCCAGGUGUCAGCCGGGCUGGUUAACCCCUGAAGUUUCCAGGGAGGAUCGCUCCAUGCUUCGCGGCUUCUGUUCUCCCGUGUCCUUGGCUUGUGACCGGGAGUUCCAGUCUCUGCCUCCAUCUCCAGGGCCCUCUCCUCCUUCUGUUUGUAUCUCUGUCCUCACUUCCUUUUAUCAAAGGAUCUAGGGCCACGUGAAUGAAUGGAGGAUGGUUUCGUUUGAGAUCCUUCACCGAUUACAUCUGCCAAGAACUUAUUUCCAAAUUAGGGCAGGUUCUGAGGUUCCAGAUGGAGAAACUUUUGGGGGGUGACAUCAUGCACCCAGUACCAUUCAAUUCAACAAGUUGACCCACUUUCUUCUUUCCUCCAUCCUUUCGUUACUUUCAGUACAUUUACAAUUUGUCUUUAUGCAAACCAUGCAGAAUCUGAAUCCGAGCAAUCUAAGGUUAUGGUCACAGUGUAUGUAACUAACAACUCCAGAACUCAUUUGAACAUUGUCUUGGGGCUGGCUUUGGGGACUACAAAUAGACACAUGAAUUCAAGGAGACAACCUCUGUGGUUUCUUUCCUGGUUUAUGAAGGAAAUUCAAAAACAAAAUAAAAGAGGAGUAAAAUUCAAUGAGCUGAAAUAACAGUGCUGGCUCCAAAUCUUUGAAGGUCUUAUUUCACGGCUGCUUACUAGCACACUUUGAAUGCAGAAGUCUCUGCUAUUUAAAGCUCAGAACUAGGAAGUUAUGAAAGUUUAAGUCUUUUCAAUCAGGAGAUCUAUCUCAGUCACAUAGUAAAAGCAGAACAUAAUUAUUCUUCUUUUCAGGGUUCUAAGGUCCACAUGUGGAAAGUCUAGUAUUUUUCUUUGAACAGGUUCUAUCUCUACUGCCCUCCUGCUCGAGGUCUUUACUUCCCUGUUUUCCAGGAGAAUGAACCGCUUAUGUGCACAGAGAAGCAGUCUUGCUGAAUUGGUUGGUCAUAUCAUAACACUAAUGCAUCCUUUGGGCCCUGAGCAAGUUUGAGGAUUAAUGUGGUGAACUGAGUCAUUUGCCAGGACCAACAAAAUGACAGACGCUGUCUGAAUGGAAUGGAAUCCUUCAUGUUUUGACGCUAGAAUGUCAUCUUUUCUAAGACUUUCUUAUACACAAAUGAGUUAUUUUUCCUGAAAAAAAAUAAAAGCUCAAAUGAACACUUUAAAAUGCUUCAUCAGUGUUUUAGGACUUCUCAACCUAAAUUAUGAAAGAGGGCAAAGGAGAGUAAUUCAGUGGUGUUCCAAUUACUUAACACAAGCGAAUCAUAGAACAAAGUUCUAACUUAUUAAUAUUUCCCUAUCUGCUCAGAGAACUCACCCAAACUCUUGUUUAGGGCUGCAUAGUAUUUCUCCUAUGGAUGCACCACAGUUUAAUCCAUCAUUCUGCUAUAUAUGGGUGUUCAAGUUGCUUCCAGUAUUUUGCACUUAUAAUUCUGCAUUGCUUAACCUUUGCACAGGCAUUUUUGUAUUGUUAAAGUACUUCAGGGUAAAUUCCUAAAAGUGGAAAUGUUGAGAUGAAAGGCAAAUAUACAUGCAAUCUUGUGGGAUAUUGUCAAAUUCCCUCUGGAGGGUUGUGCUGAUUUGCAUUCCGACCAGAAGUGUGUGUGCUUUCAUCUUUGCUAAGAGAAUACACAGUCAUAUUUGGUCUUAGUGUUUACCAGUCUGAUAAGUGAGAAAUGGUAUCUCUGCUGUUUUGACGUGUAGUCCUCAAGUUAUACAUGAACAGAUAUUCCACUUCACUCAUGAUCUUUCAGCAUCUUGGGUUUUUCUUCUCCUUCCUGAUAGUGCUAAGGUAUGAAAUUGGCAUGUCUUUCUACAAUUACAUGACUCAAAUCUUUUCAGAAGGGCCCUCACUUGUUCUAAUAAAGCAUCAUAGCUCCGAGUGCAACUUGCCCUUUCUCACCAGUUACAUCAUAACAGGAAGUGCCCCUGAACAGGCACAAACUGUUUAAUCACACAGUUCAGGUUGUGAGGAUUUCAGCAAAUUCCUCAUGGAAAAAGCAAUGAGAGUUUAUCAAACCAAAUGCACAUUUCGGAAUUAACUUCUUAAAAAUAUAUGAUGUGAAUUUAUCUAGGAAAAAGAGUCUGUAAUCACUCUCAACAACAGACUUGGAAAGAAACCCUCUGAAGAUAAUGACAAAGAAUUUUACUUAGCUAUUGUAUUGGUUUGAUAUUUGUAGGUUGUAUGGAAUUGGGAGAAGGAAGGGAGGGAGAGAGCAGACCAACUCUGAGGGAGACAGUGUUAUCAAAUGAUGUGGCAAAUCCAUAAGAAUGACGAGUGAGGAAACUGUAUGAAAAGCGAGUGAAUAAGAAUAUAAUUUUUGUAUCAGACUCUCUCAGGCUAGUAAAUGAGCAUAGCCCUGCAGUUUUAAUCUGCAUGCAAAUAAUGCCAACUGAUGAGCUUUGUUGUUAUUGUCCCCUGUAAUUUCUGAAGGAAUGACUAAGGAGAAAAGCACAGAUAACAAACAACUCAAAAACAAAAGAGGAUA